AUAGUUCCAAGCCCAAUCACAGGGGAGGUAGGUACAGGAUGAGUGGGGUGCACAAAGAAUUGCAUUGGGUCUAAUUGAGAUAGUUGAGCCCAAAGUGAAGGAACAUGAAGCAACGUGAGGUUCACUUCGUUCUUCCUCACACUCACUCUUGGGAGUUCACAGAAGAAACAGGCGACAAACCUAGCCGCGCCGGUUCGUCACCAGCGGCGGCGAUUCAAAAUCAUCCAAGCUCUCACAUAGCUCUCUGACGUCUCUCCUAACCGAAACGCUACACCUCUCCACCUAAACCAAAUGAAUCGCUAACGUGAGAUUUCUACAUGGAUCGAAUCGAGCGUCAAAUCAGAACAAGGAACCGGACUCGAACAAGCAUAUCACCACAGCAAAUCGACUAAUGCGAAGAAAUGAGGGGGCUUACCGGCGAUGGCGAAGGUGAAUCCGCCGGUGAAUGUCGGAUUCGAAGCUCAGGUACUUGCUCUUCGCGCUAGUUGAUUCUUCGAUCUUCUUUCCUCGGUUCUUAUCACGAGUUUCUUCUGUUACGUGGCUAAGCUUUUGCUUUCGCGAUUGCUCUGUUUUAUGAUGAACUGUGAUUCUUCUUCUUGAAUAUUCACCGAAAUUGAUGGUGUGGUGAGAGCUAUGAGGUGAAGAAUUUUGUGUGUGGUGAAGAAUGAAGAAAUUGGUGAAAAAAUGGAACUCGCGAGCCCUUUUUUGAGUGUUGAAGAUGAUGGAUGAUUUAUAGGGAUUGAAGCUUUAACGAAGUUGGGAUUCUGUUAGCAUCACCGGGCUCAAAUUCGUUAGAGGUUGUAUGCAGCUUCCAUCGUUCGCGUUUGUAGCUGGUGUUUAGUUUGUUGUUGGCUUUGCAUCGGCUUUUGAUGUUGUUGCCGUUUGGCUUGUCGUAUUGAUCUGCAAUGACCUGUCUUUGUUGUGUUCAUGGCUAUCACUGAAACCGAUAGGAUCUUCUGCACUAGAUGUAGUAGCUACAAUUGAAUAAAUGAAUUCAGUUUGAAUUCGAGUUAAA